rnacentral:lncRNA from 1 species
UUUUUCUUCUCUUCAGAAACAGGGAUUGCUUGCAACAGUCAGCAGAAGUGGAGCCACUCCUGGUUUCUCCUCAUUAGCAGAGAGUGGAGCAUGUUUUUGCUGCAACAGCCAUGUCACUGCCACUUGGUUCCCACCAUUAUCAGCAAACCCGAUGGAGCACCGUCCGGACAAUGCAGCCAGUCUGCAGUGGAUCAUCAUCUCUGUUUUUGUUCCAGGACACUCUGUGUAAGCACAUUUAUAAUUUCUUUUCUUGUUGAUCCAAACAAACAACAACAAAGAAAUUGCAAUACUUUUUUACAUUUAAAAACUGCUGAGGCCACAGGCCAGUGAGAUUUUCUAUCUAUAUCCGCUAAGUGGAAGCGGGUGGAGAGAAGAGAUUAGAACACAUCUAAUUAGUGCCGGGCAAUGUCUGAACUGGACGGUGGUAGUUCAGUAUUAAACGACUUGCCUUUUUUUAAAUUAAGAUCAAUGGUUGUGUGUUAAUUGAUUGAUAAUAUAAAAAAUUCUAUUCCUUAGGCCUGCACUAUAAACCAUCAAUUUAUUGUUAUUUUGAAGACAAGCUUUGCAAUACGCAUAUCGCUAUGUCUUAUGACAGCUUGAAGUAUUUAAUGAAUCAAAUAAAUCCAUUUAUGCAUUUGAACAAUUGGAUGGACCACUUUACAUCAUUGACCAAUCAGAUGGACCACUUAACAUCAUUGACCAAUCGGAUGGAGACCUUUUAUGUUAGAUGCUUCCUAUGCAGACAAGGGUCAUUUGGAGUAUAAUUUAAUUAUAUAAGUAUAUAUAUAUAUAUGUAUAUAUAUAUUAUAUAAGUAUAAUUUAAGCUGAUUUGACUCUUGUUUAAACUGUUGCAGUAAAAUGUAAAUGAUUUUUUUGGUUGUCUUGUUUAUGUGUCGCAAGUUAUAUCGCCAUUCGCAAUAUUCAUCACUAUUAUUGCACAUUGAGAGUUUUUCUCAUAUCGUGUAUCCCUACUAUACAUUUUACUCAUUGAACCAAUGGAAGCAGAACCAUAGAUCCCGUUUGAGUUGGGCUGUUCUAUUUGAGCCCGUUUAAAUAAAUUACUCAAGUUCCCACCUUUUCCUAAGUUACCUUCAAUUGUAGUUCUUGUGUGUAUACAGUAAACCCUUGUUUUUCGCGGGGGUUACGUUCCAAAAAGAACCCGUGAUAGGCAAAAUCCGUGAAGUAGAAAACCUUUUUUUUAACAAUUAUUAUACAAUUAAAUUCUCUAUUAUACAUUGAAAAGAAAGAACAAACCAUUUUACAGGCUCAAGCAUUUUUUUCACAAAUAAAAGUACUUUAGAAAAGGUUUUUCAACAAAUAACUUCUGUACUGUACUGUCAAAUAAUAAUUUGAAUCAUCGGUGUAAACAGAAGGCUUCAAAUCGCGGAGAUUAGCCCCGCCCACCGCGACCCGAGG